GCCCGCCUAGCUCAAUCGGAUAGAGCGUCAGACUCUUAAAUAUUGGGCAUCUGAAGGCUGCGAGUUCGACCCUCGCGGUGGGCU